GGAUACAGUGCCAAUCAAACAUGCGUUGUGUUGUCUCUGGAUGGUGUUCGUCUUCUCAAAUGUUGUCUACAAGGUGCACUACAGAAAUGCCACCAGACCUGCUGAGUUUCUGAAGCAAUUUUUUUCCGAGUGUUCAUGUCAAGUGUUCAGUCGGACCCCAGUGAAGAAUGGAAGAAUGGAUGAAGAAUGAAUUACCUGGCACUGAGGUCAAUGGAAUUACUGGUCACAUUAAAUAUCAUUCCGACCCCUGUUGAUCGCGACGCCUUGGUGCUGGGACUGGAAGGAUUCAAUAACCAGCUCUGUCCUUCUGAGCUAGAGUUGGAAUUCCUGCUGGCAUUGUUUAAGGGCAGGCAGGAACAAAGCAGUGAUUGAGGAUCACGUGAAGAUGUUAAACCACAGCUUUGGACAGAAGACCUCCCGCCUUCUAAGCCACUAAGGGUUAGGAAUGUGUUCACAGAAUUUGGAAUCAAUCGUGCUCUAGAGUGAGAAAGAAACCAGAAACCAUUUCUCUGACAUGAAGUGCCCGUGUUAAAUUGGUCGAUUCUUUUCUUCAGUUGACGAUGACAAAUGAAGACAAGUCAUGCCUGCUACCAGAAAAACUUCUAUUCUUCACCAGCAAGGGCAGCAGAGUUCUGUGACU